GAGAGUGUCGAGGCUUCAAUUCCGUAGUGCAUUGCAGUGCUUAUUGCCCCCUGCAAGCAGUGCGGAAGUGAGGCUAAGGCAUUCAAAAACUA
rnacentral:pre_miRNA from 1 species